rnacentral:rRNA from 1 species
AUUGAACGCUGGCGGCAUGCCUUACACAUGCAAGUCGAACGGCAGCACGGGAGCAAUCCUGGUGGCGAGUGGCGAACGGGUGAGUAAUAUAUCGGAACGUGCCCAGUAGUGGGGAUAGCCCGGCGAAAGCCGGAUUAAUACCGCAUACGACCUGUGGGUGAAAGCGGGGGAGUCGCAAGACCUCGCGCUAUUGGAGCGGCCGAUAUCAGAUUAGCUAGUUGGUGGGGUAAAGGCCUACCAAGGCGACGAUCUGUAGCUGGUCUGAGAGGACGACCAGCCACACUGGGACUGAGACACGGCCCAGACUCCUACGGGAGGCAGCAGUGGGGAAUUUUGGACAAUGGGCGCAAGCCUGAUCCAGCCAUGCCGCGUGCGGGAAGAAGCCCUCGGGUUGUAAACCGCUUUUGUCAGGGAAGAAACGCUCUGGGAUAAUACCCUGGGGUAAUGACGGUACCUGAAGAAUGAGCACCGGCUAACUACGUGCCAGCAGCCGCGGUAAU